rnacentral:rRNA from 1 species
AUGACCAACUUUGGCUUCACCGAGAAGCUAGUGCAAGUCCUCACCAGCUCUUUCUGGCCAUAUCUUGGUUGUCGAGCUUUCUUCAUCGCCUUGUUCUCUGGGACAAUGAUCCUAUUCUUAGCUUGUUAUGCUCCUACCAACGACUUCUCGGCUGCUAUGUCAAUAUUACCCUGGCUCCGAGGGUGGUUCAAAGAUCCAUUGAACUCCAACGACGGUCUCUCCCUCACGUUCUGCUUGUACUGCCAAAUAUUCAUUGCGCAGAGCGGGUUCUUCACCGCCAAGCUCUCAGAUCGCUGGUCCAAGAAGCAGCGGGCAUCGGUCUACGACUGCGACGAUGUGGAGGUAUACCUUGAGACUCUAUUCCUCAUCUGUUGCAAGGAUCUCUGCAGGAGGCUGAUGAGGAAGGUUGUGGGCAAGUGCAAAGCAGCACUAGAUGGACUAAGUUACUUUGUAUUUGCAGCGAUUGAUACCAUUGACGUUUGA